UCCUCUUCUAACUAUUUAUGUCUGUGAUGUUUUAGGCAAACAGAACACAAUCAGUCAGUUUGGAAACAUUGAGACGGGGCACCAGUAGCCUAGUGGUUAGUGCGCGCGCCCGAUCGAAUCUGACCUGUGGAUUCUUUCCUGCAUGUCAUUGCCCCACUAUCUCUCCCUGAUUUUUGACUCCGCCCACUAUCUAAAAUAAAGACAUUAAAAAGCCAAAAAAUAAA